UUUAUCCAGAGUGGUGGAGGGACUGGCCCUAUGAAACCCGGCAACCGAUAACGGCGGUGCUAAUUCCUGCGGCAUGUUCCGAGAGAUAAA
rnacentral:ncRNA from 1 species